rnacentral:rRNA from 1 species
AGCGAACGCUGGCGGCAGGCUUAACACAUGCAAGUCGAGCGGGCAUCCUUGUGGUGUCAGCGGCGGACGGGUGAGUAACGCGUGGGAACGUGCCUUCUGGUUCGGAAUAACUCAGGGAAACUUGAGCUAAUACCGGAUACGCCCUUUUGGGGAAAGGUUUACUGCCGGAAGAUCGGCCCUCGUCUGAUUAGCUAGUUGGUGGGGUAACGGCCUACCAAGGCGACGGUCAGUAGCUGGUCUGAGAGGAUGAUCAGCCACACUGGGACUGAGACACGGCCCAGACUCCUACGGGAGGCAGCAGUGGGGAAUAUUGGACAAUGGGCGCAAGCCUGAUCCAGCCAUGCCGCGUGAGUGAUGAAGGCCUUAGGGUUGUAAAGCUCUUUUAUCCGGGACGAUAAUGACGGUACCGGAGGAAUAAGCCCCGGCUAACUUCGUGCCAGCCGCCGCAGUAACAC